GAGGCUCGGUCGUGAAACCCAACACGCGUUUGUUCGACGUGAGAGAACUAGACUUCAAAAUAAGUUAGUCAGAGCUAGGCAGGAAACCGUCCCUAUGCCUCUUGAUGGAGAAACAUCGACUUCUAAGAGCCGUCUGUCACAAGGGUCCUCAUCCUAGAGAUACGUCUCCUCUACUCACAUUGACCGGGGGGAAGCUCCUACUGCACAUGAUGGUGUCCCUCCACUUGCAGACCCUUAUCCAGGAGGACCCUCUGACACCUCCUUACUGAUAUACUAUAGAGAUCAUGUUGUUGGGCAUAUAUGGGUCGGAGAGGAGCGCGAAUGUUUGAAGUCUGUUAACCACACUAGAAAGAUUUUGAAGCUUUAUCAGCCUAAGGAUGAUUGGUUCCAAAGUGUCAUUUGAUACUCCGGUCUUGCUGACCUGUGUUCUUAUGACGUUUACACUAUAUGACGUCGUUUUCCUUCUCCACCUUCCCAUCCCAUAAGGCAAAAUUACUUGAUCAUUCUGGGAUCAAUCGUGAUCAAGCCCAUGAGACGAUGAUCAUUUAUUUGGAAGUUGACCAAAUGGAUGCACGAUGUAGUGUGAGAGAACCAGAGGUGCUCAUGCAAAAUUUUCAUACUUGCAGAAGCUAUAUGAAGACAACUUGGAGUUGGCCAAUGAUGCCGACGAUGAUGAUCUACAAGUUACCUACCACAAGGAGUGUGCUUUGAGGUGUUUCCUCCUAUUCUUGAUUGGCACGUCUGUAUUUGUGGACAAAAGUGCAACCUACGUCGAUAUGGCAUAUCGGAUAAAUCUUAUCCAACUUUUACCGCAUACACGAGUUUAAUCGUGUGCUAGAGUAUACUGAGGAUUGAUCACAUGCUUGUCUAUAUUGUUCGUACAGAGGAAAUGAUACUGUGUGGCUGUUUCGUGUGUAUAUUGACUGGACUCUACAUGAUAACAUCGACUGGACCCCAUACACCACUCACCAGGACACAAUGGCCUUUGACCCCAACACCGAAGUGAUGCAUGCGUCAGUUUUGAUAUGUGCAUAUCAUUCUGAGAUCCCCCUUCGAGUCUGCUCUUAACAACAUAGUCCGUAGACAUCUUGAUGACAUACUGGCGGAUUACGAGAGUCAUCUGGUACCAGAGGAGUAUCAUAGUAUAUCAGCCACAAGUCAGUGGUUAGGAUUAGGAAUACGCAAUAGGUUGUGUUUUUAUUUGUAAUUUGGGAUGUUUUAGUAUUAUUUGUCAUCCUAUGAGAAUGAUAUUUGUAAUAUUCUAGGCUGUUUUUUUUAAUUAAUGAGUUACCUUGUUCUA